rnacentral:rRNA from 1 species
AUUGAACGCUGGCGGCAGGCCUAACACAUGCAAGUCGAGCGGAUGAAGGGAGCUUGCUCCUGGAUUCAGCGGCGGACGGGUGAGUAAUGCCUAGGAAUCUGCCUGGUAGUGGGGGAUAACGUCCGGAAACGGGCGCUAAUACCGCAUACGUCCUGAGGGAGAAAGGGGGGGAUCUUCGGACCUCACGCUAUCAGAUGAGCCUAGGUCGGAUUAGCUAGUUGGUGGGGUAAAGGCCUACCAAGGCGACGAUCCGUAACUGGUCUGAGAGGAUGAUCAGUCACACUGGAACUGAGACACGGUCCAGACUCCUACGGGAGGCAGCAGUAGGGAAUAUUCGACAAUGGGCGAAAGCCUGAUGCAGCCAUGCCGCGUGUGUGAAGAAGGUCUUCGGAUCGUAAAGCACUUUAAGUUGGGAGGAAGAGAAGUAAGUUAAUCCCUUCCUGUUUUGACGUUACCAAAAGAAUAAGCCACGGCUAACUUCGUG